rnacentral:lncRNA from 1 species
CAGCGAGUGCGGGCCGACCUUGUUGCAGCAAAGGCCGAGCUGGACGCGGUCAAGCGGGAGCGGGAUCUUCUGGCCGACGACGUAUGCCGGGCUGCCGAGGAAGAGAAAGCUCGGGCUGCUGCCGCGGAGAAGGCCGCGAAGGACGUUCAAGAUGCUUUUGUCAAGGCCUUUGUUCCCACCUUUGAAGACCGCUUGGCCGAACUGAAGAGGGACCAUGUCGCCCUGAUGGCGGACUCCAAACGCAGCGGUUUCUGGAAGGGUUACGUGCACGGACGCCGGAUGUGCUCGCUUGUCUACCCGCCCCUGUCGCGCGGUGUUGUGCCCCGGAGCCGCAACGAAUGGGCCGACUGGGAGGAGACGGGCGUUCCCACCUACCAGCCUCCCGUGGAUGUGAGCGACAGCGAGGAGCAAAAUCUUGAGGCCGACUUCUCCGACUACGUGGACCCUCCCCUUGAGUAGUAGGCCCGUAACGAAUGUUUUUUCU